rnacentral:rRNA from 1 species
UACGGAGGGAGCUAGCGUUGUUCGGAAUUACUGGGCGUAAAGCGCACGUAGGCGGCUACUCAAGUCGGGGGUGAAAUCCCGGGGCUCAACCCCGGAACUGCCCUCGAAACUAGGUAGCUAGAAUCUUGGAGAGGUCAGUGGAAUUCCGAGUGUAGAGGUGAAAUUCGUAGAUAUUCGGAAGAACACCAGUGGCGAAGGCGACUGACUGGACAAGUAUUGACGCUGAGGUGCGAAAGCGUGGGGAGCAAACAGG